AGAUGACGGUGGUUGGAAGUAGAAUAGUAAAAGCAGAAACGGUGAGAAGUCGAUUGAUCCUGGUGUAUAUCUCUUGAAACUGGAGUUGAUGCCUAUUAGUAUGCCACUGAAGAGCCUGCAGAAGGAGCCGUGGUGAAGCCAGCAAGUUAUAGGAAAGGUCUUUGAAGUCCUGUGCAUUCAGCUGACAGAUGGAAAAGAGAAAGGAUCAUACAGGAAGUUUGUAUGGGCCAGGCCUAGAAGAGAUAGUAUCACUUCCACUCAUAUUUCAUUAGCCAGAUCUCAGUCUCAUGUCUACACAACAACAGCCCCAGCUGAGGUCCCCACUGACACCAGGAUCAAGCACCUGAUGUAUGUGUGAAGAUGGUUCCAGAUGAUGUUAGCCCUCAGUGUCAGAUUUUCCCAGAUAUUGAGGAACAGAGAGAAGCCACCCCCCUUAACCUUAAGGAAACCCUACAGUUGCAUGAACUCUAAUCCCUUGAUGAAUUCCUUUUUCUAUAUUAUUCAUACUGUUUCUGCUUAUUUGUUCCAACCCUGACUGAUACAAACCAUGAACUCUGGCCGAACAUGCUUGCCAUUCUGAAUGGUACAAGUGCCACAAAAGGUGGGCGCCUUUAACUUCUAAUAAAAUUGGGGUACUUUUUAAUUCAACAUUUAUAUUACUAGUAAUUAUUAAUAUCUUUAA